UAUUUAGCUUGUUUUGUUGGGUUUAUAGUUUUAAAUAAGUAAAUCAAUAUAAAUAUUCAAGUUUGGUAAGGGGUAGAGAUAAAAUUAAGUAAGCAAUAGAAAAAGUACUGUGAAGGAAAAUUGAAAUAGUUGAAAUAUAAAUUAAAGGGGAAGUAGGUUUAAUGCUGUACCUUUUGUAUCAGGGUUUAUUAAAUAGAGGGGUAAAUAUUCUGUAAUCUCGAUGUAAGAAGGGCUACCAUACUAAGUUAGAUAAGGUGGUAAAUUUAUUGAAAAUAGUAUGGUAGGAACGAAAAGUUAAACGAUUCUUAUGGUUUCUAGUUUCUUAAGAAAUAAAUUUAAUUUAGGAAUGGCAGGAAUUUCUGGUAUUGUUCUUGAUAUUUUAAGCCAUUCUACUAACUUGAGGGAUAAGCUUUGGGUUAAUCUUAGAACUUAAGGAUUUAGAGAAAAUUUGUAGGCUUGAAAGUAGCCACCAUUGAAGGAUGUUAUAAUUUAUUUUCUUGGAUGAAAAUUUUUAAUGGUUUAAGUGUUUAUUAAGAAAUUAUUCUAAAUUGUUAGGGUAAGGUAUAAUGAUAAAAUGAGUAUAAUCAUUGUUGUUUAAUGAAAAAUUCUGGUAAGGAACUCGGCAAAAAUAGUGCUCGCCUGUUUAUCAAAAACAUCGCCUUUUGAAAAUAUAGAAGGUCUGACCUGCCCACUGAAGAAGUUAAAGGGCCGCGGUAUUUUGACCGUGCAAAGGUAGCAUAAUCAUUAGUCUUCUAAUUAAAGGCUGGAAUGAAUGGUUGGACGAGGUACUAGCUGUCUCACUAGAAUAGAUUUGAACUUAGCUUUUUAGUCAAAAGGCUGAAAUGUAGUUGGAGGACGAGAAGACCCUAUAGAGCUUUACACUAAACUUUUUUAAUUUGUUUAGAGAAAUUUUUAAUUUUAAAGGAUAAGUGUUUCGUUGGGGUGACGGGAAGAUAUAAUUAACUCUUUUUAAAUUUUAACACUGAUGAGUGAGUAGUUGAUCCAUAAUUAAUGAUUAAAAGACUAAGUUACCUUAGGGAUAACAGCGUAAUCUUUUUUGAGAGUUCUAAUCGACAAAAAGGGUUGCGACCUCGAUGUUGGACUAAGGAUUAUUUUUGGGUGUAGCAGCUCAAAGUUUAGGUCUGUUCGACCUUUGGAUCCUUACAUGAUCUGAGUUCAGACCGGCGUAAGCCAGGUCGGUUUCUAUCCUCAAUAGAGUGAAAUAUUUUAGUACGAAAGGACCAAAUAUUUAAGAUAAUCUUGGGAAGUGAAUAAUAAUAACUA
rnacentral:rRNA from 1 species